rnacentral:lncRNA from 1 species
AUCAAUCUCCAUUGAUGACUCCUACUUCUCCACACUCUCUAACACCAAUCCCUCCAUAACUCUUAUUCACCUCCCUCAAGUUUCUCUCCCUCCCAACACCUCCUUUUCUCCUCUAGAUUUCGUAGCCUCUUUCUUUGAGCUUCCUGAGCUCAACAACACCAACCUCCACCACACCCUCUUAAAUCUUUCUAAAUCCUCCAAUAUAAAAGCCUUGAUUAUAGAUUUCUUCUGCAGUGCUGCUUUUGAGUUUGUGUCCUCAAGACACAACAUCCCCAUUUACUUUUUCUUCACUCAUGGUGCAAGUGGCCUCUCCAUGUUUCUUCACCUCCCUAUCCUUGAUAAGAUCAUCACAAAGAGCUUGAAAGACCUUGACAUGAUUAUUGAUUUUCAUGGCAUACCAAAAAUUCAAUCAAAAGAGGUGCCACCGGCUAUUUCUGACCGGUCUCACAGAGUUUACCAAUACUUCGUUGACACUGCCAAGCUGAUGAUCAAGUCUGCAGGAGUCAUAAUAAAUACAUUUGAGUUACUUGAACGGAGGGCACUUCAGGCAAUACAAGAAGGAAAGUGCGCCCCCCCGGACGAGCCAGUACCGCCAUUGUUUUGCGUUGGUCCACUUGUAACCACUAGCGAAAGCAAAAGCGAACAUGAGUGUCUUACUUGGCUUGACUCGCAACCAGCCCGCAGUGUCUUGUUUCUUUGUUUCGGCGGCAUGGGAUUCUUCAGUUCGCGUCAGUUAAAGGAAACGGCUAUUGGGUUGGAGAAAAGUGGUGUUAGGUUCUUGUGGGUGGUGCGUCCUCCCCUGGCUGACAGUCAAACCCAAGCAGGCAGGUCGAGCACUCCAAAUGAGCCAUGCUUGGAAUUACUUUUGCCAGAAGGAUUCUUGGAGAGAACCAAAGAUCGGGGAUUUCUAGUGAAUUCAUGGGCACCACAAAUUGAAAUACUCAACCACGGCUCGGUUGGAGGGUUUGUGACUCAUUGUGGAUGGAAUUCUUUACUUGAAGCUCUGUGUGCUGGGGUGCCAAUGGUGGCUUGGCCUCUGUAUGCAGAGCAAAGGAUGAAUAGGAUUUUCAUGGUUGAGGAAAUGAAGGUGGCUCUAGCAUUUAGAGAAGCUGAGGACGAUCAGUUUGUGAACGCGGCCGAGGUGGAGGAGCGUGUGAUUGAGAUGAUGAACUCGAAGAAAGGUGAAGCUGUUCGAGAAAGGAUUCUGAAACUUAGGGAGGAUGCGGUGGAGGCCAAGAGUGACGGAGGAUCUUCUUGCAUAGCCAUGGUUAAGUUGGUGGAUUCUUUUAAAAAAGGUUAAUAAUUGUAAACCGCGGGCUUGAAACCAUUAGUGUUCAACAAUGGGAUCUGUCUUGUUUGCUCAUCAUUUUUACCUGAACAUGAACUUUCAAUGUGAAAUCUUUCAGAAGAAAAGUAGAUUCAAAUUAAGUUCCAAUGUUCCUAAUAAAGGCCCUGAUGAGACGAGGAUUUGUGAUGUAUCAAGCCACUCUGUUUGCUAAUGCGGCGGUAAUAAAUUGCUUGCUAGCAUGAUUUUUAAGUUGUUUUUUAGUUUGAAAGAAAUAUAAAUUAUUUUUUUUGUUUUUUUAAUAAUUUUAAUAUAUUAAUAUUAAAAAAAAACCCUAAAUAAACAUAAUCUUGAUAUGUUUUUAAUUAAAACAUAUUUUCAUAAAAAUAUCAUGCAAUAUUCAAUGCAUUAUCAAGCAAAAUAGAUUAUAUAUUCAUGAUAACAAAUCGCAAAUAAUAGGGUAUUGAUAAAUUGGAACAAAAAAUAAUAUAUGAUCAUGUUAAGCCUCUUGCACUCGUUGGUGACUAAUAAAAUUUUUUUUACAUGUUACUAAAUGAGAUUAUAUUUGAUUAAUAAACUAGCUAUAACAACAUGUGUAGAUUAAUAUACUAGCUAUAAAAUAGAUGUUUUGUCUAUUUUUUUAAGUUUUUGAUUUUUUUAAUCUGUCAUGUCACUUUAUUUUGUAUUUAAACCAAAAAAAUUUAUUAUCUUAUAUUGACAAAACAUAAAUACAAAUUAAAAUGCUUCAAAUCUCACAUAAAAAAAAAUGCAUUAUUAUAUUAUUUCUAUUGUGAACUAUAAAAUGUAUUAGUAACCAACUUAAAAAUAUGAGAAAACAAAGGGUCUAGGAUAGGAGAAAAACCAUAUUUGAAAAGAAAAAAAAGGUCUCUUUCAGAUUUUUGUUAUGUCGCCCUAGUUUUGGGUUGACCUUGCAGGUUAACUGGUUUACUGUUGGUCAAUUGCAGGCUUAAAUUUUGAAUGAAACAGGCCUAUCCAACGCUGCUAAGCCUAGCUUCCCAACAUGACCCAAAGCGUUGGGUUCUGCUUUUGGGAUGGCCCAAGCUGUUGGGUCCUGGUUAAAAAAGGAUUCAAAGCUAUUUUGGAUCCUGCACACGUCAGGAUCCAAAGCUAUUUUGGAUCCUGCACACGUCAGGAUCCAAAUUAAUUGUGGGUCUUGCACCGGGUAGGACCCAGAGGUAUUCUUGGUCAUGUACCUGACAGGACCCAACACCCAAUUGGAUCCUGCACGCGUUAGGAUCCAAAGCAAUGUUGGGUCCUGCACCCAAAGAAAUUUAAUUGGCAUGAAUGCUAGGUCUGGAAGGCAGUCAUCCUUAUUGAUCAAUGAUCUUCCAUUAAUAUUCAAUGAUGGUGUUAUACUGUAGUGAAGAAGAUAUACAUGUAUACGAUAUGCAAAGGGAUAGAGAGGUGUUUUAAGUCCCGUUGAGGGCAGGACCCAAUGUCAUAAGGUCCUGGUGGAAGCUGGACCCAAAGUUAAUGGGUCCUGCUGCAGCAACCUGACCCAAUAGCGUUGAGUGUAGCUACCAAAGCCAGACCCAACAGCUCUAUUGUUGCCUUUGCCUCUGCAUCACUCUUAUCUUAAUGGUGAAUAUCAAAUGAGCAACGCCUUCAGCCGCAAUCUCGACUAAAAACACAGGAAAUAAACACCUCCAUGGUAUUAGAGUGUCGUCCACAGUUAAUUAUAUCUUGGUCCACGGUGAAAAAUCUACAUACAUUUUACUAUAUAGCAAAGCAACCAUGCAAAUCCAUGAUUAAUUAUCUCUUGGUCUAUAAUAUAUGCAUGUAUAGAGUAAGUCCAUAAUAAAUUGUUUUUUUAAACUAUAGCACAUUCAUGUAUAGUAGAAAUGUCACUGUAAAAUACUUUCCAGGUGCUUGCUUGCUCGGAAGAUAACUUUAACGAACAUGGUUCAAGAAAUGUUAAAGAAUUGCUCUCAAUUCAAAAUGUCAUUUAUAAAUUCAAUGAAUAAUAAUAUCAAAAGGUAAAGUUAAUUUUUAACCCUUUUCUCCACAUUUAUAUAUUCAAUAAAUACAUGGUAAGUCAUUCCAGGCGGAUAGUCCUAUAUCCGAUAUGAAUCCAAUAAUAGCAAUAUCUAUGCCAUUCUGACGUGUUGUGCUUAAUAAUUCCAAGGGUGUCGAAAGCUCGUCACCCACUUCUUUAUUUUUUUUCUUUAAUAUUUAUUAGCUUAAUAAUUCUCUCUUGAAUACUGCUCGAGUGCUAGUUAAGUUAAUCCAGCAUUUAAGAGAAUUAAAAGUUGCAGCGCAGUGAAGAAAGGACGUCGAGAUUUGGUAGACAGUUCAAAUGUCAUACUUAAUUAGGAAGGGGGUAAUAAUUAUGUUAUUUAAUCUUGAUUGAUAUUUAAAUUUAUCUAAAAAUAAAUACUAUUAUUGUGGAAUAAAAUAAGAAAAAUAAAGUCUAAAUCCAAACAUACAAAAGUAAAGUCUCACUUGAUGCAUCGACCGAUCAAUUUCAUUCGAGCAAUAAUAAAUCAACUUUCAAAUCACUCUAGCAAAGGGGAAAAAAGAAGAAAAAAACGCUCACAGAGCUAACAUUCAUACCCAUGAAUCAACGCGUGAAGAGAUGGGCACUGUAAUUUCAUGGCAAGUGGUCACUUUUAGAUGGGACAGGUUCCAACGCCUCUCUAUCUAACAAUUAAUUCACUAUUUAUUGACCCUAUAGUCUUCAAGAAAUUAAAAGAGAGUGGUCUAGUACAUAUCCUCCUUUCCUUUUCUUUUUUUUUUUCUUUUUUUUGGGUUUAGAUACGAGAGCACGUUUUUUUAAAAUCAUUUGAAAAAAUAAUUAAAUGCGUAAAUGAUUUGAAAAUAUUCUUCGGAUUAAAAAAAAGAAGUGACUUUAGGCUGCAGCAACGAGAGUCAAUUUACAAGGAAUUGUCAAUCCAAACCCCAUCUAGCCCAAAAUUUGCUAACUCUUGUUGUCACUAUUGUUAAACCUGGUCUGAUCUAAUGGGUCGAUUUGAUAGCUGAACUGGUCUAGAUUUAUUAAAAAACUAACUUGUACAACAACCUGGCAAAGCCCGGUCGCCCUGCGAGCUGACCCAUGACCCGAACAAACCCGGAUGAGACCCGGUUUUUUUUUUUUUUUUCAAAUGUAGUUUUCUCUUAUACCCCUCUUUUUUCAUAUUUUUCUUGUUGGUUAUUGAUAUUUUUUAAAGUUCACCAUAUAAAUAUUAGAAAAAUAUUUUAUUUUUUUAAUGUGAGAUUUGAAACCCUUUAAUAUAUAUAUUCUAUGUUCCCAAGAAAAAAAAAUUAUUUUUUCAAUGCGAUAUUUGAAACCCUUUCGUAUAUAUACUCUAUGUUCACAAGAAAAAAAUUAUGUUUUUUCAAUGUGAGAUAAAAAAUCUUUUGGUUUAAAUACUUCAACUUAAGAGGAAAACGUAAUAUCUUUUCAAUGUGAUAUUUGAAACCCUUUAAUAUAUACUCUAUAUUUCCAAGAAAAAAGUUAUUCUUUCAAUGUAGAAUUUGAAGCUUUUUUGUAUAUAUACUUUAUGUUCAUAAGAAAAAAAUUAUGUUUUUUCAAUGUGGGAUUUAUAACCCUUUAGUAUAUAUACUCUAUGUUUUAAAAAAAAUUAUUUUUUCAUUAUGAGAUUUGAAACCGUUUCAUAUAUAUAUACUCUAUGUUCACAGGAAAAAAGUUAUGUUUCUUCAAUGUGGGAUAAAAAACUUUUUGGUUUAAAUACUUUAACUUAAAUAGGAUAACAUAAUAUCUUUUCAAUGUGGGAUUUGAAAGCCUUUAGUAUAUAUACUCUAUAUUCAUAAUAAAAAGUUAGGUUUUUUCAAUGUGGGAUAAAUUUUUACAAUAUUAUUUUAAACUUCAUUAUUUACAACAUGUAUAGCCUAUAUUCAAACAUAUUUUUUCUUAAUGUUUUCAUAUGAAAUACAACAUAGUUGGAUUGAAAGUCAGAAAAUCAAAGUGAAAAUAACAAGUUAAAUAGGUGGUGAAUUCAAAUUUCAUACAAAAAUUUUUAUUUCAAUCUCUUAUCUUUUUUGGUUUAUACAUGAUCGACCCCUUUAGUUUUCAGAAAUUCAAUUUUGAUAUCGAAGUUUAUUCCCCUUAUUUUUCAACCCUUUUAUGUUAAAGAGGAGAGAGGUUCACCCAUUUGAAAAAAAAAGAAAAGAAAACAGACUCAAGUGUGUAAGCCUGAGCUGUUCCUUUUAGAGGCCCAGUAUGCUGAGCCAUUGGCUAGCCUUGUGGGGGCUUUUUUACCCUCUUUUUAAAUACUGAAAAAAAUUAACCUUGUUAGUUUCAUGACCUGGAUUGUAAGUUCGACGAGUUAAGCCACAACAUUCAGUCUCUUGUUAUUUUUUGCUUAAUGCAUUUUAGUACCUCAAUUGUUUUUUUUUAAAAAAUAUUUUCACCCUUAUCAUCGAUGAUCUAUUUUUAUAAUUAACUAAAAAUUAAAAAAAAAAAAAAACAAUUUCACCCUUUAUUAUUACCGAUUUGCUUUUGUUGUCUCCGAUCCUAGACACCUUUAAUUUUUUUCUUUUUAAAAAAUCUUUCAUUAAAAAAUAUCACAUUCGCUGUAUUUUCAUGUAAUUGUAUUAAAUGAAACUAAUCUAUGGAAUAAAAAAAUUAUUGAAUCCGAUGACGUGCAUGACUGGCAUGAAAAGUUUCGUUAGUUGACUCAAGUUCAUUUGUAUUUUUUUUUAAAUUAUUUUUUUUAUUUUUCCUUCAACAUUGAACUAACUCAAGAUUAUCCUGGAACUUUCAUGUGUCAACUAGAAUAAUCUAGGUUGAUCCAAUGUGUUUACUUCUUAAUGUUAGAUAAAAAUAUUUUCUAAUACAAAACAAAUUCUAAAUUCAUUAAUAAAAUAUUUUAAUUUUCUUAAAAGAGACAUUAGCAAUGUCUAUUUUUUUUUUAUUUGAUCAUGUUUUCUUUUACAUGUCACGAGAAUUACUUGGAACUGAUUUUUAUUCCAAAGCCGAUUAAUUAUAAUAGUAUCACAUGAUAUCAUUUUACUAUGCUUGCGCAUGAUAUUUUUUAAAAAUUGCUUUCAAUUGAAGUAAUAUAUAUAAUAUUAGUAUAUUAAAAAUAUUAAAAAAAACAAUUUAAUACUUUUUCUUUUACUGUAAAAAGCCAUUUGAAAUACAGGCAGUAAUCGACUGGAAAAACAAACACUCACUCACUUGAAGGGGAAGCCCAAAGAAAACACCAAAGUUAAAUUGCAUAUAAAGCACAUCCAAGGUCCUCACAGUGAUAUCAUAUCUCUAUCUUUCUCUCUUGCGGUAGUUGUGCGAAAAGAGAGAAGCCUGGCUGAUGGAGGAUACCAUAGUCUUGUAUCCAUCACCUGGCAGAGGCCACUUAUUCUCCAUGGUGGAACUAGGAAAGCAAAUUCUCGAACACCACCCUUCAAUCUCAAUUACAAUCAUAAUCUCCGCCAUGCCAACUGAAUCAAUCUCCAUUGAUGACCCCUACUUCUCCACACUCUGCAACACCAAUCCCUCCAUAACUCUUAUUCACCUCCCUCAAGUUUCUCUCCCUCCCAACACCUCCUUUUCUCCUCUAGAUUUCGUAGCCUCUUUCUUUGAGCUCCCUGAGCUCAACAGCACCAACCUCCACCACACCCUCUUGAAUCUUUCUAAAUCCUCCAAUAUAAAGGCCUUGAUUAUAGAUUUCUUCUGCAGUGCUGCUUUUGAGUUUGUGUCCUCUAGACACAACAUCCC